ensembl:lncRNA
AUAUCUUGCUAGGGUUCCCUGCUUAUCUGAGGCCUUCUAGAAUCAUCCAAAGCUUUGCACUGCAACUGAAUUACCAAGAAGGGUAUUAGUGAUCCUGCAAAGACAUCCUUACUCCGUAAGGAUGAAUUUGCCACUACCUUGAAAAGAGGAGAAAGAGCAGUCAACACCAGCUCAAAGCCUCCUUUUAUGCUGAAAUAUCAUCAGCCUGAGCAGCAGGAAAAGGAUCGAGUGAGUUGGUCUCAAAUCUCUUCCAACUGCCAGAUCCUGCUCCUGAUGGAACCUGGGUUGGAAAGAUUCACAGAUGGUCGUACAAAAUUAGGAGAAGACAUCUAAUGUGAUUCAUGAAGUGAGAUAUCCCAGGCCUUCGGUGAUGCUGAAAGAAACGCUUCUCGUGCAGUUGAGAUAUGCCAGUAGGAGAAAAAUGAUGUUUUCUUUUUCAGAAGUUAUGGAUAUCGCUGCAAUUGGCUGUCACAAAUCUUACAGGCUGCAAAAGGCAAUGAUGAUUUCUCUCUUGUAUUUCCAAGUUGCAUGGGAACCCACAGACGAACCACUGCUGUCUUUUGUGGUAGCUAUUUUGUAUUCUCAGGACUGAGACGGUUCCUCCUUUGGGUUGAUCAUCAGCUCCAGCUAGAUCUGCACAUGUGUCCACAGAACAGUGAUACUGCCGCGGAGGGGAGGGAUGAGGACAGUCGGGAUGCCUUCCAGACUUUGCUUCCAGAGACAAGAGCUGAUGCUGUGAGCAACGCAGUAAUUCCACACAUCUGGAAGCGGAGGAAGCAAGCUUAGACCUCCGUGUUGUGUAGUAUCCAUGGAAAUUGUCUGUGGGAAUCUGUUCCGCUCCUGAAUUGCUCCAAAUAACAGAGUAGAUGCUUCUCUGAGGAAAUAAAUUAAAGAGACAUCACAUAUAGUUCAAAGAUCUGUCCAAGGUCUGGUUCUAGUGUUUUCUUUAACAAUUUGUAUGCUUUAUAAGCAAGCAGACUUAUUAAAUGCACAGAUAACACCAGGCUUGGAGAAAUGGCAAGAGCAAUGGAGGGCAGGACUUGAAGUCAGAAUGAUCCUGACAAGUUGAGAAGUGUUCUGGUGAAAAAGAAGUCAACUUCAGUAAAGACGAGGUGACAAGGUACUUAGAGAGAACAAGUAACCAAAUGCAGGACAAAGCAUGACUAUCUGGCUAGUAUUUUGUAGAGGAGAGAUCAUAGAGAAUCCCAAGCCAAAGUUAGUGACCUGGAUUGCUAUCUCCUGAGCUGUAUAAGCAAACGUAUUGCCUACAAAACAAAAAUAUUUAUUUUCUUAUCACAGUGAGUCCUUGGCAGGAGGAUCAAGCACACCUGACGUGGGGCAGCAGAGGGGAGUUGCUGCAUUCUGAACUUUAAUACACCGGUGUGUGUUUCUGGUGCCUCAGUGUGCUCAUUGCCCUGCAGCCCUCCUCAGCUCCUUAGGGCUGCUCCAGUUCUCGCUCCUGUCACAGCCACCAACUGGAUCGUGUCUCUGUGCUCCCAGAGGAGGCUCUAAGAACAGGGCAGGAAAGCAGCUGCAGGAUUUUCUGCGUUUCAACCUCACAACGUGUGUCCCCUAUUAAAAUGUAGAGGAAAUACAAGAGCAGGCAAUGCAUCACGUGUUUUUAAUACAGCAUUUGAGAUUUGAGGCUUAAAUAUGGGAAGUCCCAUAUUAAAAAGGGUAUCUGGCAACCCCAGCUGCUUUGAGAAAAAUGUGGAUGACCUGGAAAGGCUCCAAAAGAGAGCAAUAAGAAUGAUGAGCUGUCUUGGAGGAUUGACAGAAAUGGGGUUGCUGAGCUGAAAGAAGAGAGCACUGAGGAGGGAGAUGGCAAUAACCCUCAGAUGUAAAAAUGCACUGCGGCAAAGAGGAAGGGAGUAAUCUGCUAACCACACUUACGUUGGAUGCAACAAAAGUAAGAGGUUUUUAUGUCAUCAAGGGAAAUUGAGAGUAGAUGUUAGAAAGUGCUUCUGGGCAGGCAGGGCACUGAAAUCAGAUUGCCAGGGGAAGGAGGUGGGGUGCGAAGACAUUUGAUAUUUUUUACUGUGAUGUUGACAGUGUUUUUUUUUAGGUACUGCCUUUCCCUGAAUACUUUGUGACACAUCUGCCAAAGAAAACCAGGGAGAUUUCAUGUUUCGUGGAUAGGUGUGAUAGCUGAUGGUCAGACUAUAUCAAAUCUAUGCCUUCUGCAGCGUUCAUGAACUUCACAGUCCUUACAGGAGUAUUUGCUCCAUCCAAUUACCAGAAAUGAUUAAAUUUUGGAAGGUAGAUUUUCUUAAGUCUUUGAAGGUUUAGAAAUUCCAUUUCCACUGAAAAUCUUGUCCCUCCGUAUGGAGGUUCCAGGCUCAAUUUGCCCACAGUUCAUGACACUGUGAUUGAAAACCACCAGCCUACAAGAGCAAUAUACAUUAAUCAAGGAAGAACUGUCAAAACUGUGAUUAACUUAUCAUUCUAAUUAUAAUGCAUGACGAAACUUCUAUAUUAAAUAACUUCACUAAUGACUGAGCCUUACAGUACAAGCUGUAAUGCGAUUUUUCUGUAAGAUAUUAAUUUAUCUUAAGACUCGAUUUUUUUCUAACACGGGCAAUGUUUUUACACUGAUAUCUUCAUAGCACAAAAUGAAUCAUUUCUGGACAGAGAUUCAUUUUGGAACGCUUUUGUAUUAUAUUCCUGUUUUAGUAUUUGAAGUUAUCAUUAAAAAAGUUAUUGAAAUU